UACGGAGAGUGCAAGCGUUGUUCGGAAUUAUUGGGCGUAAAGCGCGUGUAGGCGGUCCAGCAAGUCCGGUGUGAAAGCCCAGAGCUCAACUCUGGAAGUGCAUCGGAAACUGCUGGACUAGAGUACCGGAGGGGAAGGUGGAAUUCUCGAGUGUAGAGGUGAAAUUCGUAGAUAUUCGGAAGAACAUCAGUGGCGAAGGCGGCCUUCUGGACGGAUACUGACGCUGAGACGCGAAAGCGUGGGGAGCAAACAGG
rnacentral:rRNA from 1 species